CUUCAGGCAGUUUCAAAUUUGUAUCAACAUCUGACUGUUUGGUUACUGACACUGUUGUAUCCGUCGACUUGUCAACGGAAUCGCCAGUAAACUGCACUGAAACAUCAGGAGGAGCAGAAGUAGAUGCCUUCUUCAGACUGCGUUUUGGUUUCUCAUUGUCAACCUCCAACCUCUCAGAAGCUUCUUUCACGGAGUUGGGAACUUUUCUUGUAUUGCGUUUUACCUUCUCAAUAUCACUUUGUGCAUGUUCUUGAACAGAAUCAACUAGGUGGCUGGAAACUUUCCUGGGAUUGCGUUUAGGUUUCUCGGAUUCUAAAGCAAAUUGACUUGAGUUGUUCUCAAUAUUAGUACGGGCUGAUUUUCGGAUGUUUCGCUUUGACAUGCCUUUUUCAUUUUCUAUGGUUUGAGAAUUGCCACGCUUGGUCUCGGACUUUGAUUGGACGUUCCUC
rnacentral:lncRNA from 1 species